rnacentral:lncRNA from 1 species
GCAGAAGGGUUGGGGUUGGAAGGGAUUCUAUGGAUCGGAGAACCAUGGGAUCGUGGUGUGGUUGGUUGGAGGGGUCCCUAUAGAUCAUAAAACCAUGAGAUCAUGGCGUGGUUGGAUUGGGAGGAACCCUAUAGACUGCAGAGCCAUGGGGUCAUGGCAUGGAACCCUACAGAGCACAGAACAAUGCCAGGACAUGGGGGGCAACAGGAAAGCUGGGAAGGACUUCUUAUAAGGGUGUGCAGUGAUCGGAUGAGGGGAAGCGGCUUUGAGCUGGAAUAGGGGGGGGUCUGGAGUGGAUAUUGGGAAGGAAUUCUUCACUGUGAGGGUGGGGGGACGCUGGGAUGGGGCACCGGGGGGGCUGAGGGUGCCCCCUCCCUGGGUGUGAUGGGGCUCUGAGCAGCCCGGUGUGCUGGGAGCCCGCCCUGCUGGCAGCGGGGGAUGCAGCGAGGUGACCAAUGGGCCAAUAUCCAACCCAAACCACGCUGUGAUUCAGUGGUUCUGUGAUCUAUGGGAUCCGUUCGAACUCAACCAUCCCAUGAUCCCAUGGUUCUGUGAUCCAUAGAAUCCCUCCCAACCCAACCAUCCCAUGAUCCCAUGGUUCUGUGAUCCAUAGAAUCCCUCCCAACCCAACCAUGCCACGAUCCCAUGGUUCUGUGAUCUGUAGGGUCCCUCUCAACCCAACCACGCCAUGAUCCCAUGGUUCUGUGAUCUGUAGGGUCCCUCUCAACCCAACCACGCCAUGAUCCCAUGGUUCUGUGAUUCAUAGCGUCCCUCCCAACCCAGCCAUGCCAUGAUCCCAUGGUUCUGUGAUCCAUAGGGUCCCUCCCAACCCAAUCAUCCCAUGAUCCCAUGGUUCCGCAAUCUAUAGGGUCCCUCCCAACCCAACCAUGCCAUGAUCCCAUGGUUCUGUGAUCCAUAGGGUCCCUCUCAACCCAACCAUGCCAUGAUCCCAUGGUUCUAUGAUCUAUAGGGUCUCCUCUGUGAUCCAUAGGGUCCCUCCUAACCCAACCAUGCUGUGAUCCCAUGGUUCUGUGAUCCAUAGAAUCCCUCCCAACCCAACCACCCCAUGAUCCCAUGGUUCUGUGAUCCAUAGGGUCCCUCUAAACCCAACCAUGCCAUGAUCCCAUGGUUCUAUGAUCCGUAGGGUCCUUCCCAACCCAACCAUGCCAUGAUCCCAUUGUUCUGUGAUCCAUAGGGUCCCUCCCAA